rnacentral:rRNA from 1 species
CUUGGUCAUUUAGAGGAAGUAAAAGUCGUAACAAGGUUUCCGUAGGUGAACCUGCGGAAGGAUCAUUACAGAGAUCAUGCCCUUCGGGGUAGACCUCCCACCCUUUGUUAUACCAACGAAUGUUGCUUUGGCGAGCCGCCCUAGGCCGUCGGCCUCGGCUGACGCGUGCUCACCAGAGACCCCAAACUCUGUAUCAGUGUCGUCUGAGUACUAUAUAAUAGUUAAAACUUUCAACAACGGAUCUCUUGGUUCUGGCAUCGAUGAAGAACGCAGCGAAAUGCGAUAAGUAAUGUGAAUUGCAGAAUUCAGUGAAUCAUCGAAUCUUUGAACGCACAUUGCGCCCUCUGGUAUUCCGGGGGGCAUGCCUGUUCGAGCGUCAUUACAACCCUCAAGCUCUGCUUGGUAUUAGGCUUCACCCCUAGGGGCGGGCUUUAAAAUCAGUGGCGGUGCCAUUCGGCUUCAAGCGUAGUAAUUUUCUCGCUUUGGAGGACCGGGUGUGUGUUUGCCAAUAACCCCAAUUUAUAUAAAGGUUGACCUCGGAUCAGGUAGGGAUACCCGCUGAACUUAAGCAUAUCAAUAAGCGGAGGA